rnacentral:rRNA from 1 species
CCUACGGGAGGCAGCAGUGAGGAAUAUUGGUCAAUGGGCGGGAGCCUGAACCAGCCAAGUCGCGUGAGGGACGACGGUCCUAUGGAUUGUAAACCUCUUUUGUCGGGGAACAAAGGCGCCCACGGGUGGGCGGAUGAGUGUACCCGAAGAAAAAGCAUCGGCUAACUCCGUGCCAGCAGCCGCGGUAAUACGGAGGAUGCGAGCGUUAUCCGGAUUUAUUGGGUUUAAAGGGUGCGUAGGCGGACAGUCAAGUCAGCGGUAAAAAUGCGGUGCUCAACGCCGUACAGCCGUUGAAACUGGAGGCCUUGAGUGCACACAGGGAUGCCGGAAUUCAUGGUGUAGCGGUGAAAUGCUUAGAUAUCAUGAAGAGCUCCGAGCGCGAAGGCAAGUGUCCGGGGUGCAACUGACGCUGAGGCUCGAAAGUGCGGGUAUCAAACAGGAUUAGAUACCCCUGUAGUC